rnacentral:rRNA from 1 species
GCAUAACGCGAAGAACCUUACCUAAGCUUGACAUCCUUUUGACCGAUGCCUAAUCGCAUCUUUCCCUUCGGGGACAGAAGUGACAGGUGGUGCAUGGUUGUCGUCAGCUUCGGUGUCGUGAGAUGUUGGGUUAAGUCCCGCAACGAGCGCAACCCUUGCCUUUAGUUGCCAGCAUUAAGUUGGGCACUCUAGAGGGACUGCCAGGGAUAACCUGGAGGAAGGUGGGGAUGACGUCAAAUCAUCAUGCCCCUUAUGCUUAGGGCUACACACGUGCUACAAUGGGUGGUACAGAGGGCAGCCAAGUCGUGAGGCGGAGCUAAUCCCUUAAAGCCAUUCUCAGUUCGGAUUGUAGGCUGAAACUCGCCUACAUGAAGUCGGAGUUGCUAGUAAUCGCGAAUCAGAACGUCGCGGUGAAUGCG